CCUACGGGAGGCAGCAGUAGGGAAUAUUGCUCAAUGGGGGAAACCCUGAAGCAGCAACGCCGCGUGGAGGAUGAAGGUUUUCGGAUUGUAAACUCCUUUUGUUAGAGAAGAUAAUGACGGUAUCUAACGAAUAAGCACCGGCUAACUCCGUGCCAGCAGCCGCGGUAAU
rnacentral:rRNA from 1 species